AAACAGAACAGCAAGGAAACCGGCUGCUUGUACCCAGCUCUCCUCCUCCAUAGCCCCGGGAGCUCACUCUUGGCUAUGAGGCCUGUGGCUGGGAGAUCACCUUGGCUGAUACACAUUUUUCUUUCUUGUUUUUCAGUGGGUGUGUGAAGGAAGGAAGGAAGGGUGUGAAGUCUGUAGUGUGGUGAACAGAUUUAAUUCCUGUAGAGGAGAGAGUACACAUUUCGAUGCUCGGGGGUCGCUGUGGAAGACUGCUGGCUGCCGGACGAGGUGCUGCCGGCUUCCCUGAGCAUUUCCUGGGUGCAGUGAGGUUAGGAAACUGAGCCCCUGAGAUCACACGUCCAUGGCCUGCAAAAGUUCUGGAUUUCAAGUUAGCCACGUGGGAGCAAGACCCACGCUCAUGAAAAUGUCAGUGUGACCCAUGAGUCCGCACAUCCUCCCCACGUUUCCAGAUUAUGGCAACCUGAUCCAAAAAUGGGAUUGUCACCGAGUAACUGACACCAGCCAAUCAUUUGUGAAAAAUCAUGUAUUAGUUAUGGUGACAGGGCACCCAGCUUCCUGGAUGUGUGUGACCCAGCAGUGGAUAUCUGUAAAACUCUUCCCGUAUCUGCACCAGUAUCUCUGUGAAUGAUGAGAACAUACUCAAAGACACACUUUGCUCUCAGAAACUCAAUUACUGGAAAGAACUUAAGAGUUGUUGUGGGCCACAAAUCAUGGGUGCCAGAAGUGUAAAUUAUUUCUUAAUAAAUUUCUAACAAUGUAUAAUUUUCUAUUGUUUACUUCAUUUGGUGAUAACUCAACCAAAUCUCCAUUUCAAGCUUUUGUUCCUUCUCAUGGCAGAAAACGGUUAAUUUUGGCUAAACUCAGUCAUUUCAGCUGUAAAGCUUCCAUUCAUUUUAUUAUUGUACUUUAGAUGAAGGUUUACAGAACAAACUAGCUUCUCAUUAAAUAAUUACUACACAUGUUAUUUUGUGACAUUGGUUACCAACUCCACAACAUGUCAACCCUCUCCAUUCUCGACCUUGGGUUCCCAGUCACUAGGUUUCCUGUCCCCUUCUGCCUUCUGGUCCUUGCCCCUGGGCUGGUUUGCCCCUUUAGUCUCAUUUUGUUUCACGGGCCUGUCUAAUCUUUGGCUGAAGGGUGAAUCUCAGGAGUAACUUUAUUACUGAGCUAAAAGAGUGUCCAGGGGCCAGCUUUUAGGGUUUCUCCAGUCUCUGUCAGGCCGGUAAGUCUGGUCUUUUUUUGUGAGUUAGAAUUUUGUUCUACAUUUUUCUCCAGCUUUGUCUAGGACCCUCCCUUGUGAUCUCUGUCAGAGUAGUCAGUGGUGGUAGCUGGGCACCAUCUAAUUGUGCUGGAUUCAGUCUGGUUGAGGCUGUGGUAGUUGUGUCCCAUUAGUCCUUUGGACUAAUCUUUCCUUUUUGUCUUUGAUUUUUCUUCAUUCUCACUUACUCUUGUUGGGGUGAGUCCAGUGGAGUAUCUUAGAUGGCUGCACACAAGCUUUUAAGACCCCAGACGCUACUCACCAAAGUAGAAUGUAGAACAUUUUCGUUAUAAACUAUGUUACUCCAGUUGAGCUAGAUGUUCCCGGGACCAUGGUAUAAACCUUCUAUUCAGAUGCUCCGCUCUCCUCUCUUUUCCCUGGGGGCAUGUAAGUUGUUGGUGGGCACUUAUAUUGCAUCAUGUCACCGUUUGCUGGAAUGUCCAUGCUGCCAGCUAGCUCCCAACAGGAAGGUCUCUGGGUCUCUCUGACUCUGAAGUCCCCUGCCACCAUCUGGUCAGCCAUUUCCAUGCCACACUGCACAGGAAACUCAUACGUAGCUGCCACCCUGAGGCCUUUAUACAGGAACUGAGGCACAUGCUUUUCUUUCUUCUUGAAUCUCCCAGUUUAACAGGGGCUUAUAAUUCUCCUUCACCCUUUGAACUGUCACUGGGAAAGAAUGUUUCAGGUCCUGGGUCCCUUCUUAGACAUCCUUGCCAGCAUCUGUCUUGCCCACCCAUUUCUGAACACAUCUAAUUCCUCAUUCCAGACACUCUCUGCUGAGUUCCAUCCAAUCCUUGACCCCUCCCCAGCUCUAAGCCCCCACACUACCUCUAAGUCCCACUGCAAAGUGAGACUAGCAAGAAGGUUUUAAACAUUAAUUGGUUAAAAAAAAUUGAACUUAAGUGUUUGUCUUUCAGGCCCUGUCAAAAUAUCCCCAUUUCAAAAUGAAAACAUCAGAGUGGACACUUCUAAAUGUCUUCUAAGUCUAUAUGUGUGAGCUGAGCACACAGGAAGGCGUGAAGGUCAAGGAGAGCUCUGUAGCUCAGGCUAUGUGAUGAGGAUUCCCAGUUCCCAUUCCUUGGAGGUGUUUUAGUGGAGAAUGGGUGACCAACCAGCAGAAGUGUCCAUGGGGAUUCUACCAUUGGGUGGGAGGUUGCAUAAUGACCUCUAAGAAUUUUCACCACUUGACAUUUUAAAGGGGAAGAACAGAGGGUUUCUUAAGUCAAGUUCGUAGAUACCCAAAUGUCCCUACGGGUUCUUGGCUUUCUCCAGAACCAUUUCCACUGAGAGUCACCUGUUCCUAGGCAUUGCCACACAUCACAAGUUAACCACUUAUCUAGCUUUCACUACGGUUUUCUUUCUCACUUCACAAAUGACUGCGUAAGAGACCAGAAAGCUCCACUGGCAUAUGAUGGUUGGAGGACAGCCAGCUCAGGGACGGCUGUGCCACUCUAGGCCAUACCAACCCUGCAGUGCAAAAUUCAGAGUCACUUCUCAGGCAGUACGAAUUCCUCAUGACAGGGAUAUCUCAGCUCUUCUCUAAUUGUCACAAACCUGAAAGUUAUACUUGAUAAUGCCAAAGGUCUACUACUCCUUCCAUGACUCCAAUUCUGUGAUUCCAAGGAGCCCUGGCACAUGCUUUGCUGCCUCUAGUUGCUCCUGCAAGUGGACAGGCAUCAAGGGGUGGCCCAGUGCCAGGGAAGUGAGGAGCCAUUUGUGUAUGUGUGUGUGUGUUCGCUAAUACCUGGUAUUAUUUCCUUUGCACAUAAGGUGUAAGAUGCUAGAAGCUGAUUGAAGUAGACACUGCCAGAAAUUCAGUCCCAGUAAACCCUCAUUAGGUCUAUCCCCAAGUCUAAAGGGUGGCUCUCAGGACCCUUCCUAUUUUUAGGGAGGAGGCCCAGAGAGAUGGAAGAAAGCAUGUGCAAAAGGACAGGCUGGGGACACCCUUCCUCUCCAAUGACUUACAAUUUUCUCUGUAGGCCAAUACUCAUCUUCAACAUUCAUUUCUUCAUUAAUUCAUACAUUCCUUAGGUAUCUGUACCAGGCACAGGAGAUACAACGGGAUUAAGGUAGACAUGGCCUCUAACCUCAUGGAUCAUGUAGGCCGGCAGGGGACAUAUACCUCUGUCUUAGUUACCUAGUGCUGCUAUAACAGAAAUACCAUAAGUGAGUGGUUUUAACAAACAGAAAUUUAUUUUCUCACAGUUUAGGAGGCUAGAAGUCUGAAUUCAGGGCUCCAGCUCUAGAGGAAGGUUUUAUCUUUCUGUUGGCUCUGGGGGAAGGUCCUUGUCUCAUCAGCUUCUAUUCCUUGGUCCUUGGUGAUUUUCAUGUGACAUGGAUUUUCUCUUCCCCCAUCUCUGCCUCCUUCCAUUACUUGUUUCGUCUCUUUCAUAUCUUGAAAGAGAUUGACUUAAAACACACCCUAUGCUAAUGCUGCCUCAUUAACAUAACAAAGUAAACCCAUUCCCACAUGGGAUUAUAAAUAUAAGUAUAACCCAAAGUAUAGAGGUUUUUUUUUUUU